CAGCCGCGCGGGAAUACGAAGGGUGCAAGCGUUACUCGGAAUUACUGGGCGUAAAGCGUGCGUAGGUGGUGGUUUAAGUCCGUUGUGAAAGCCCUGGGCUCAACCUGGGAAUUGCAGUGGAUACUGGGUCACUAGAGUGUGGUAGAGGAUAGUGGAAUUUCCGGUGUAGCAGUGAAAUGCGUAGAGAUCGGAAGGAACAUCUGUGGCGAAGGCGACUAUCUGGGCCAACACUGACACUGAGGCACGAAAGCGUGGGGAGCAAACAGGAUUAGAUACCCCUGUAGUCCCUGUCUCUUAUACA
rnacentral:rRNA from 1 species